rnacentral:rRNA from 1 species
UACGUAGGGGGCUAGCGUUGUCCGGAAUCAUUGGGCGUAAAGCGCGCGUACGCGGCCCGGUAAGUCCGCUGUGAAAGUCCAGGGCUCAACCCUGGAAAGCCGGUGGAUACUGCCGGGCUAGAGUCCGGAAGAGGCGAGUGGAAUUCCUGGUGUAGCGGUGGAAUGCGCAGAUAUCAGGAGGAACACCGAUGGCGAAGGCAGCUCGCUGGGACGGUACUGACGCUGAGGCGCGAAAGCGUGGGGAGCAAACAGG